UACAGAGGUCCCGAGCGUUGUUCGGAUUCACUGGGCGUAAAGGGUGCGUAGGUGGUGGGGUAAGUCUCGUGUGAAAGCUCGCAGCUUAACUGCGAAAAGUCACGGGAUACUAUUCUGCUAGAGGCUUGGAGGGGGGACUGGAAUACUUGGUGUAGCAGUGAAAUGCGUAGAUAUCAAGUGGAACACCAGUGGCGAAGGCGAGUCCCUGGACAAGACCUGACACUGAGGCACGAAAGCCAGGGGAGCAAACAGG
rnacentral:rRNA from 1 species